GAGAAACAUGUCUUGUACAACCAAUACUUAGAAAUUGAUUGCUUAAAGAUCUCUACUAUCAAUAAAUUCCACAAAACCAAAUGCAUUCAAACAUAUAUGACAAUAGUACAAAAACUCUUCGUCGUUCACUACAAUAGAUCGAGUUUACUUCUGGCCACAAUUCAAAUUCAAUUACCGGCAUUUUCCUGCACAUUUAAAAUAAAAUUAUAAGUUAGUGAAAUAAAUCAUGUAUUUAAUAUGCUUAAAUUCACAGUAAGCCAAACCAAUUCAUAACAAUAAAGUUGUGGAAGUGCAUAUAAGGUUGACAGAUAACUAUAGACAACACUGCUUGGAAUUCUAUUGAUGAAGUAAAAAGAUGCUAAAACACACUGAUACUAGAACUUUACAUCAUAUACUGAUUUAUAGCAACUGUUUAGCAUAGUCAUUAGUACUCUUGGAUCCAUUCUGAUGACUCCUAGUAGAUAGUGGUACAUUAGUGUUCAAGCCAUAUGUGAAGGUUCCUUUAGCUUGUAUUUCAGUACCUACAUACGUUUGCACAUCUAUCAUAUCAUAGGCAGCCCAGAUGCCUCACUAUAAGUUUUUUUCUUAGACUUGAAGUCAGGUGGAUAGCUUAUUAGUUUGAAACAUUGUCCUUCCUAUGUCCUGUGAAUCUGCAGAACUCACACACCAACUCUUUCCAGAAUUUCCAACUCUUUCGAAGUUAUAGAAAAGCUCAACUCUUUUCAAAAUUUCCAGCACUGUAUUAUAGCGCAAUAGUUGAAUUUCCAGAAUUUCCAGCACUGUAUAAUAUUGCAGCAGCAAAGUUUCCAGAAUUUCCAGAACUGUAUAAUAUUGCAGCAGCUUAGUUUCCAAAAUUUCAGGAUUUUCCAGAAUAUCCAGCACUGUAUAAUAUUGCAGCAGUUGAGUUUUCAGAAUUUCCAGCACUAUAUAAUAGCAGAUUGCAACAGCUGAGUUUCUAGAAUUUUCAGAAUUUCUAGAAUUUCCAGAACUUCCAGUACUGUAUAUACUGUAAACUGAUUCUAUAACCUGCACAUACACAAUAUCCUAGCAGGGAAGCUAAAAACACAACUAAACUGAUUCUAUAACCUGUACAACCAUUCAGAUGAGCAGUGGCAGCCUGUGCAAACAGUAUAAGUUGUUGUCAUGGAUUCUCUAAUUCUUGGUGAUCAGUUGUACUCUGGAGGGUAAGUCCAAAACUAACUUUUUAAAAGUAACUUAUAUAGUCUGUAAAGUUCAGUUCCUUUAAUGCGACAAAAUAGUUUAUGAGUAUACUAUCUCACUUGUUUACAAUAUGUAGUCCAUACAAACUGUACUAAAAUAAAUUCAAACAAAAUCAGGACCUAAACAAACUAUUUUUGAUCAAAUUGAACAUUAGAACUUGAAGCCUCAUAGCAUCAAAUAGCAUUUGAGAACAAUCAUACGGAGAUAUACAAUGAGUAUGUUAAAAGAUGCUCAAAAGAGAACUGAGCCACACUUGGAGAAAAAGGUAAACAACCAGAUUUUACAGCCCCAUUUCGAGAACCCAGAACCCAGAACAGGCACACUAAAAAUCAUGACUGAGUGAACUACAGAGCAUCUUGAACAAACUAAAAGGAGACUCAAUUAACUUUAAGAAAACAGAUUAAAUCAUAUCAACUAAGAAGUUGAUACAAACUAGCAGCUCACUAUUUCAGUCACAACAACGCAUAACACUCUUGGUAUGAAACAAACAAGGAAAAAUUAAAGGUAAAGAGUUGCACCUCCCUCGGAGUGAUGAACUAGGGACAACGACGAAACCAGGAGCGACUUCAAACUGCAGAGCUCACUGUUCUGCCUACAACGCAUAACACUCUUGGUCUGAAACAAACAAGGAAAAAUUAAAGGUAAAGAGUUGCAC
rnacentral:lncRNA from 1 species